rnacentral:rRNA from 1 species
UACGUAGGGGUGCAAGCGUUAUCGGAAUUACUGGGCGUAAAGCGUGCGCAGGCGGUGAUGUAAGACAGGUGUGAAAUCCCCGGGCUUAACCUGGGAACUGCAUUUGUGACUGCAUCGCUGGAGUGCGGCAGAGGGGGAUGGAAUUCCGCGUGUAGCAGUGAAAUGCGUAGAUAUGCGGAGGAACACCGAUGGCGAAGGCAAUCCCCUGGGCCUGCACUGACGCUCAUGCACGAAAGCGUGGGAGCAAACAG